rnacentral:sRNA from 1 species
GAGGCUAAAUUGGCAAUUGAGAAGGCCUAUAGCCUAGGUUGACGGCUUUCAUUGCACAUUAGAGGGGAGCCCACCUAAGGUUGGCCCAAGUUUCAAGCCUAC